AUCCAGGUUGUCCUGUAUCUUGAAAGAACAUGAGACUACAUGCUUCUUAGAUGUUCGGGAUAUAUUUUUGGACAUCUUACAAAAUGCAGACCCAUUCUGGUCCUCAAACAUUAUGGAGCCACUCAGUCCCCUUUAAGUGCAUUGCCUUUCAUAUUGUACCUUGGAAGUUGAAGCUUGGUAUUUUAGGAUGGAGCGAUACUUUAAACAAUAAUGCCAUCAACUUUAAAAAUAUUUAACAUAGAAACAGCCUUUCUUUACUCUCACCCAUGGUUAAUACAUUUGACUGGUUCAUAAGAACAUUUGGAUAAGGAACUUAUACUUGGGUAAUUUGGCUACCCCUUGUUUGAGAGAUCAUUUAUUUUUUCUGUUUGAAUUACUGUGUCACCCUACCUCAAGAAGCAGAUCCCUGGAUUAUUUUGGCUGCUGUUUGUUUAAUGGUGUAUGAUGCCAUAGUCGACUAAAAAGCAACUGGUCUGACAGAGUAGCGCCCUCCUAUAUAUGGUGGUGGAUGUAUAGUGCAAAGUGAUUUGCAAACUCGUCAAAGCUUCAAAUAUUAAAGGACCACUAUAGUGCCAGCAAAACAUACUUGUUUUCCUGGCACUACAGUGCCCUUAGGGUGCCCCCACCCUCAGGGUCCCACUCCCACCGGGCUGGACAACGAGG